AUAGAAGUAAUGGCAUGAGCGGCGCAGAGUAUGACGUACAAGCCUCACACAACCUUUCUCCUCCAAAAUGUGUAACGCUCUUUCAUAAUGUGGAAAGAAUGGGUAAAUGAGGAACACCAGCAACUACAACUAGAAAGCUCACAGUGCGGUUAAAUUUUGUUUCUCGUUAUUUAUACAAAUUAUUUUGACGAAUUAAUGUGCUUUAAUAUUAUUACCAUAGAUAAAAAGUCAUAACAAUGCACGCGUGAUGACUGAUCCUUUCAACGUGGAAUAUGAACUUAGGAAUAAAACCUAUAAGUUGAAUUUGUAAACUCAUUAUGAGGCCAUGUUUUUGUUCCCCUGGUGAGUACAGCUUAAUUGGAUUAAGUUCCCAUCAGUCAAGUACUUCUCGAUUUUUUUUGUCUGUUUAUCCGCUUCCCCUAUCACUUUUUUGUUAUCAGUCAGCCCAGUUCAAGUAGGGUUGACACCUUUUCAAAUGGCCAAAGUGGGACAUUUUUGGUACAAACAUCAGAUUUUACAGGCCGACACAUACCCAAGGCAAAGAAAACAAAGAAGUCCAGAGGGAUAAGGCAUGCCUUCUCUAAGGUACUGAAAAUAAUAAAAAACAAGACCUUGGGUUGCCUGGAAAAAGAUAGAAGCAUGAAAUAGCAGAUUUAAAACAUGAAAUUUAAUGCAUUUCUAAAAUAUCUCUGCAAGAAAAAAUUUGGGACAUGACUAAAUGAAGUCUUCAGUAUUCUGAACAACUCUGGGAAAUGCUAAGAUUGCAUUUUCCACUUCAUGAACACUUUUGGGACAUGAAUAGAUCAAGUCUUCAACUUCAAUUUCAUGAGCAGUUUGAGGACAUGAAUAUGGAAUGAUUUCAUGAACAAUUCUGGGGCAUGACUAUAUAAAAUCUUCAGCUUAUUAAACUAUUUUGA